UGAGGAGUGGGAUCAGGAUGAAGAUAACCAGCACGAUCCUCGAAGACAAUACCAACAAUGCCAGAGGCGCUGCCAGCAACAGGAGAGAGACCCUCGACAGCAACAACAAUGCCAACGACGCUGUGAGGGGAGAUAUGCAGACCAGCAGCAAGAGGAAGAUGAAAACAACCAGCGCGAUCCUCGCAGACAAUACCAGCAAUGCCAGAGGCGCUGCCAACAGCAAGAGAGAGACCCAAGGCAGCAAC